rnacentral:rRNA from 1 species
UGAGGAAUAUUGCACAAUGGGCGCAAGCCUGAUGCAGCAACGCCGCGUGCGAGACGAAGGCCUUCGGGUCGUAAACCGCUUUUCUGGGGAAAGAGCAAGGACGGUACCUCAGGAAUAAGUCUCAGCUAACUACGUGCCAGCAGCCGCGGUAAAACGUAGGAGGCGAGCGUUAUCCGGAUUUACUGGGCGUAAAGCGCACGCAGGCGGCUCCGUGAGUCGGACGUGAAAGCUCUCGGCUUAACCGGGAGAGGCCGUUCGAUACUGCGGGGCUUGAGGUAGGGAGAGGAAUGCGGAAUUCCCGGUGUAGUGGUGGAAUGCGUAGAUAUCGGGAGGAACACCUGUGGCGAAGGCGGCAUUCUGGCCCUCACCUGACGCUGAGGUGCGAAAGCGUGGGUAGCAAACAG